AUCCUGGAGAGAUCCGGGAGUGCCCGAAAGGGAACGGGAACACAGGUGCUGCAUGGCUGUCGUCAGCUCGUGUCGUGAGAUGUUGGGUUAAGUCCCGCAACGAGCGCAACCCUUGCCAUUAGUUGCUACAUUCAGUUGGGCACUCUAAUGGGACUGCCGGUGACAAACCGGAGGAAGGUGGGGACGACGUCAAGUCCUCAUGGCCCUUAUGGGUAGGGCUUCACACGUAAUACAAUGGUCGGUACAGAGGGUUGCCAAGCCGCGAGGCGGAGCCAAUCCCAGAAAGCCGAUCGUAGUCCGGAUCGCAGUCUGCAACUCGACUGCGUGAAGUCGGAAUCGCUAGUAAUCGCGGAUCAGCAUGUCGCGGUGAAUACGUUCCCGGGUCUUGUACACACCGCCCGUCACACCAUGGGAGCGGGUUUCACCAGAAGCCGGUAGCCUAACCGCAAGGAUGGCGCCGACCACGGUGAGAUUCGUGACUGGGGUGAAGUCGUAACAAGGUAGCCGUAUCGGAAGGUGCGGCUGGAUCACCUCCUUUCU
rnacentral:rRNA from 1 species